CGAGGAGGGCGGCGUGCGGACGCAGGAGGAUGCGGGCCGCCGGCUUCCGGCGGGGAGGCAAGGGAGCUCGGGGAGCUCCGGCCGAGCCUUGACGCUGGCGACGCGAUGCCGAGAGGGUGGCGUGCGGGCGUGAGGAGACGGAAUCGAGGAGGCGCGGGAAGACACCGUAGGUGGACGGGGGCUUGGCAAGGGCGCCGACGGUCGUGACAGCGCCGGCGGCGGCCAACGUGCUCGCUUGGUAGGAUGGCGAGUUCCUGGGCGCUUCCAUGGCAGAAAAGAGACAACACCAUGGUAAGGGGGGAGAAAAGAGGGACGGUGCAGCGACCCAGGCACGAGCUUGCCGGAGUCGGGUAAUGGCGGAUGGGCGCUAGAGAUGGAAGGAUCCGGCGCGGAGGCGCGAAGUCCUUGUAGUUGGAGGCGGGCCUCCAUGCCCACGGUGACCCAUCCCCUUCUCUCCAUGGCCGCAAUAGCUCAGGCAGUGGUCAGAUCUGCCCCUCCCUCUGUCACUCCUCGCGCCGGAGAACCUAGCUUACCGAGAACGAUGAUGACGGUGGUGGCUAUCUCGACGACUGUGGUAUGGCAUAGAAUUCCCUCCGCCCCUUCUCUUCUCCAUCGAAGACCGCUUGAAUCCCGAGAGGAGAGGAGAGGGAGAUCCAUGGCGGCGGGAAGAUCCGUGCCUGGAGCCCUGGACAGGACCUCCUCGUCAAGGAGACCCAAGCAAUGGAGCUUCUCAUCAAUGUCUGUCCUUGGUGUGUGGGUGCCCUUCGUACCUCCCCUUCCCUGAUGUUAUUUUCUCCCUCUCAAAGGCACACACCCAACAUCACCAUGGACCAGUAGCUCAAACAGUCUUGUUCCUCAUGGUGAUGGGGUUCCCUCAACAUCUGCAGGUCGUCAUACUUAAGGCCUCCACCAUCUGCAUGUCUUCCUUCUUCUCUUCUACUCUCUUGGAUUCCAUUUGAUUCACUGUUGUGCCGGUGAAGCUCCCUCUCUUCUCUGUUGCAGUGUCUACGAUGGACUCCUUGCACCUUUUGUGCAAAUAUAUGAUUGUAUAUAUGGACGGAAUGGGUGGAUUGCAGUGUUUAUAAUGCACCACCUUGAUUUGAUUCGGUCUGGAGCAGCAGCAGCUCCUUCCUUCCAUGAAGGGCAUCCACGACAUGACCCGCACAUGGGGCUGCAAGCAGACGAAGGUACCUGCUCCCUUGUUGUACAUGUUCAUGGGUUCUUUGUGAUGAUGAAUCACUGAUUGGAUCUCUUGAUUAGAUACAUACAAUCCAUUCUAUUGAACUGUGGGCACAACAUGAGGCAUAUGUCGCUGAUUUUUUGUUACUUUGGUAGAUAAUAUGUAAUGUGUGUGCGUGCAUGUGUUGAUAAGUAGCAUAUUUGCUUGGCCACGUGUGACACUCAUGUCAAAUCCUUGACAUUUCUGGGAUUAUACAAACAUCAUGUUUUUCCCCGCCUCCAUCUCUUCCAUGGCUAGCAGCACAAGUUUCUUUGUUUGUAAAUCAUGCAGUCUCGUAGAUUUGGAAACGACGAACAGGGCACUGAACUUUUAUAUAGGAGUAUCUGCAUAAGAUAUGUAAGAAUAUUAUGUUAUGUAAGAACAUGGCGGUGCAGUCACCCGAGGUGAGGAAACUUUGUCACCUACCUCUACCUCCUCCACUAAGAUGACAAGUAUGCUAAUCCACCCUCAUCUACAUCACUUCCUCCCAGCCUGUGGUAUAUUACUUUGGAGCAUCUUGUUACAGGCAUAUUACUUUGGAGCAUCUUGUUCUUUUGUCAUAUACACAAAUCUGUCCAUGCUUAAAUAUGAUCAUUAGCUUGUGGAACAGGAGAAACAAUAUAGUGUUCUCUAGCAGAUGCAAACCUGUCCAUGCUUGAUUUGGACCAAGAAUUAUUGUGUUGCCUAUUGAUAUGUAAACAUAUUUUUUUUGGUUGUCACAGAAAAAUACCAUGCUACUACAUAAGUUUGAGUCAAACAAAUUAAAUUUGGAAUAAGAUCCCUGAAAGUAAUAAAGCGCUUCUUGAAUGCAUGGAAACAAAAAGUUAGAUAUCUCAGAGGUACUACAUCAUAUAUUCUAAAAGUGGCCCACAUGGAUAUGUAUAUUCUUGAUUAGCUUUAUGUUCUAUUUCUGUUGUACAUGCUCCAAGAGUAAAUGUGUUUAUUCCGAAAGGAGAUGAAGUGAUUUUUCUUCUACUGCAACCAAUGGACAUUUCGUUCUACACACAUGCAAUGAUAUUGUAGUGCCACUUGAUUUUCUGUAAAAUUUCAGUAACAAUUGAGCAAUAUUGGCCUUUUGUUUCCUGUAUUACGUAAUGAUCAGGGAGUCAAGGCUCAUGAAGGUGGUCUCUUACUGAUUGUUGCACCUAUAGAGCUCACUAAGAUAAUGUGUAUUAGCAAGGUACCAUACCGCAUGGGAUGGAAGAGCGAACUCACCGUCAACCAAAGAGGAAGAAAUCCCAAGACAGACGAAAGUG